rnacentral:rRNA from 1 species
CGCGCGGUGGUCCCACCUGACCCCAUGCCGAACUCAGAAGUGAAACGCCGUAGCGCCGAUGGUAGUGUGGGGUCUCCCCAUGCGAGAGUAGGGAACUGCCAGGC